AGUGAACGCUGGCGGUAGGCCUAACACAUGCAAGUCGAACGGCAGCACAGUAAGAGCUUGCUCUUACGGGUGGCGAGUGGCGGACGGGUGAGGAAUACAUCGGAAUCUACUUUUUCGUGGGGGAUCACGUAGGGAAACUUACGAUAAUAACGCAUACGCUCUACGGGUGAAAGCAGGGGAUCUUCGGACCUUGCGCGAUUGAAUGAGCCGAUGUCGGAUUAGCUAGUUGGCGGGGGAAAGGCCCACCAAGGCGACGAUCCGUAGCUGGUCUGAGAGGAUGAUCAGCCACACUGGAACUGAGACACGGUCCAGACUCCUACGGGAGGCAGCAGUGGGGAAUAUUGGACAAUGGGCGCAAGCCUGAUCCAGCCAUACCGCGUGGGUGAAGAAGGCCUUCGGGUUGUAAAGCCCUUUUGUUGGGAAAGAAAAGCAGCAGGUUAAUACCCCGCUGUUCUGACGGUACCCAAAGAAUAAGCACCGGCUAACUUCGUG
rnacentral:rRNA from 1 species